UCUCCGUAGGUGAACCUGCGGAGGGAUCAUUACUGAGUGAGGGCUCACGCCCGACCUCCAACCCUGUGUGAACACAUCUUGUUGCUUCGGGGGCGACCCUGCCGUCCGCGGCUGAGCGCCCCCGGAGGCCUUCAAACACUGCAUCUUUGCGUCGGAGUUUAAGUAAAUUAAACAAAACUUUCAACAACGGAUCUCUUGGUUCUGGCAUCGAUGAAGAACGCAGC
rnacentral:misc_RNA from 1 species